AGCGUAGACGGAGUGGCAAGUCUGAUGUGAAAACCCGGGGCUCAACCCCGGGACUGCAUUGGAAACUGUCUGGCUCGAGUGCCGGAGAGGUAAGCGGAAUUCCUAGUGUAGCGGUGAAAUGCGUAGAUAUUAGGAAGAACACCAGUGGCGAAGGCGGCUUACUGGACGGUAACUGACGUUGAGGCUCGAAAGCGUGGGGAGGCAAAACA
rnacentral:rRNA from 1 species